rnacentral:lncRNA from 12 species
GGGGGGGGGGGGGGGGGGGGGGGGGGGGGGGGGGGGGGGGGGGGGGGGGGGGUCCGCGGGGCGGGGCCGAGCGCUGAGGCGGCGCCGCGGCCCGGCCUCGCCCACCCGCCCGGAGCCGCCGGGCCUGGCGCCUCGGGUGCCCAGCGAGUCCGGCAGCCGGGAGCCUGUUCCGUGAGUCUUGCAGACCCAAAGGAUUUUCUUCAUGCCAAAACUUGCCCUGUGCCUCUUUACUAAAGCUGCAGGACUUCAGCUGAAGGAGAGAGGCCUUGGGGCUUUUAUUGUGCUUUGCAAGCCCAGAUUACAUCGAUCACAUUGACUGCUCACAACAACUUUACUCAUGUAAAGACCAGCUGAACAUCAGAGGCUCUUUGGGACCCGUGAGAGAGCAACACAGCCCCUUCCACCAACUAAACAUGGUGGCACAGGAUACUGAUUUUGCUGCUUCAGUAAUAAAGUAUGUCUCAGCAUUAGGAGUGAUUUUG